rnacentral:sRNA from 10 species
UGUAAGCAAUGAGCCAUGCAAGCUGAAAUGUGCUUGCACAGAUUUCAGCUUAUAUGGCGAAUGUCAAUAAUGAACAACGAAGGUCGGAGACCGGGAGUUGUGAAUUAUCAAGGCUCGGGAGUAGCGAAGCUACGGAGAGACUUGGCUUACA